rnacentral:tRNA from 3 species
GGGCAGGUAGCUCAGCUGGGAGAGCAUCGCCCUUACAAGGCGAGGGUCGGGGGUUCGAACCCCUCCCUGCCCACCA